AACGAACGCUGGCGGCAUGCCUAACACAUGCAAGUCGAACGAGACCUUCGGGUCUAGUGGCGCACGGGUGCGUAACGCGUGGGAACCUGCCCUUAGGUUCGGAAUAACUCCCCGAAAGGGGUGCUAAUACCGGAUAAUGUCUUCGGACCAAAGAUUUAUCGCCUUUGGAUGGGCCCGCGUUGGAUUAGCUAGUUGGUAGGGUAAAAGCCUACCAAGGCGACGAUCCAUAGCUGGUCUGAGAGGAUGAUCAGCCACACUGGGACUGAGACACGGCCCAGACUCGUACGGGAGGCAGGAGUGGGGAAUAUUGGACGAUGGGCGAAAGCAUAAUCCAGCAAUGCCGCGUGAGUCAUGAAGGCCUUAGGGUUGUAAAGCUCUUUUAGCCGAGAUGAUAAUGACAGUACCGGGAGAAUAAGCUCCGGCUAACUCCGUG
rnacentral:rRNA from 1 species